AUCCAGGCCCUGAUCCAGGUCCUGAUCCAGGCCCUGAUCCAGGCCCUGAUCCAGGUCCUGAUCCAGGUCCUGAUCCAGGCCCUGAUCCAGGUCCUGCUCCAGGUUCUGCUCAUCUCCAAGGUUCUUUUUGACAAGCUCGUCCGACCUAGCAACAUUGACUACGGGUUGGUCAAGUUUGGGCGUUCAUGUUAAUACUACUAAAUAUAACAUUUUAGAUUGGACUAUUAAAUUGAAAGCUACAAAAUACAGGUCUAAAAAUAUGAGGUCAGGAAGGGAAGCCGAGUGGUAUCACGCUGACGUCUCAUCUAAAAGGGAAAGUCUUUUUCCCAGAGUAUUUAAUUUAGUUUCCAAAAUGAAUUGAACUAAUGCAUUUAUUAUUUGUAUUCUUAUGAAACAAAGUGUCACGUAACACUCAGUGGGGUGUUUAGCUCAGGUUUGUUCAUUUUUAACCAAGUGGACUCCUGCUCACGACGUCUCGGUUCUGUGUUCCGUUGUAAACUGUAGAGAAGUGUCUAGGAACUAUAAAAAGGUUACCUUGCUGUUCAUGUCGACUCUAUUCUCACUAAUCCUGCGUCUCUCUUCCCUUUUCAGCUCCAACAGAUGGAAGACGCUCAGCUGCAGCAACGAGAGGCCAACCUCACGGCCCUGGCCGCCAUCGGGCCUCGCAAGAAGAGACCAAUGGAGCAGACGGGAAGCCAGCGCAGCCGGCUGCCUGUUUGCUCUUUCCUCAACAGCCACAGGGCUUCACCUCCGCUGGCACAGCCCACUCGCAUGACGGCUACCUAGAGGAGUGAUUGUGUUUGGAGUGAACGCUGUUACUGCACAUACUCAGACAGGAAGUAUUUGUUGAGGCAUCGUCCUUGAAACGAGGAUUGUUUGUCUCCAUAUUAAUUCAAGGACUUGGUUGACUUUGAUUUGUAGCGUGAAAGCACGAGGGCUGUGCCGAGGUUUCAGUGAAUGUCUAAAGAAAAACAAAAGAGAUGUGUCGCUCACUCUCUCUCACUCUCUCAGGUGACCCUGCUGCCCAGACCGAGCAUUCAGAGGGUGACCCGCGUCAUGCUGAGGGAUCUGCUGCUGUGUAUGGAGCAGGACCGCUUCCUGUGCCACUCCCUCCCUCUGUACAGAGCCAUGCUCUGACCACCUCGCUGGGAAUGACCACACCACUA